UUCCAUGUUGUCGUAGCUGAACGGGUUCAAUCAUCGCCAGUGAUCUGUCAGUGAGUUGGAGAACAUUUCAACUAUCACUUGGAAUCUGAAGAAUUCUUUGUGACAGAAUAAGUGCGUUUCAAAAGAACAAACGCUCCCUCUGGUGACAUGGGUGUAAAAAUGCUGCAGUGCUUUCCUUUCUACAGACGCUGCAAGGAGAAGUGCAAAAAACAGUGCCCUCCUGAGACGGCAGUAGCAAGUGAAGAGGUGAAACCUCGGCUGUGUUCCACUACCUCCUGGGGCAGUGAAGGGGACAGCAGCAGCAGUCCGAGGUGCCCACAGGCCUAUUUUUCCCACAAGGCUCGGCUCUCGCUGAGACACCAGAUGGAUAGCAACAUCAAUGCAGUGGAUGCAACAUACUAACUUUGUCCUGCAGGCGGUCUCUUGAGAAUCCAGAUUUACAGUCCCUGUCCAGUUAAAGUCCCUUACUAGAGAGAUUUUUUUGGGGAACUGGAGAAUGAGCCAAUAGGAACAAGAAACAUGGAAGUUUUCCUCUCCUUGCAUGCCCACGGACACUCAUGAGCAUCAGCUGUAUGCAUUGUAAUAUCAAUGUCAAGAUACUUGUCUGAAUUUCGGUACAGCAAUGAAUGUAAAAAGGUACAACUGAGUGUAAUUGGGUUAAAGGGAUAUUUAGAAACAAUCUUAAGAGUGAUGUUUACAUGAUAACCAUUAAGUGCUUUUUUUCUAGCCUGUAGCAUUUGCCCUCCACAGCCUAAAUCUAAAUCAUCUCAACUAGAUGCUGGUUUUAUCUGUGGAGACACUGACACUAUAAUGCAAUUUAAUUUUUUGAGCCAGAUAUAAAUUUGUUCAGGAUUUUCGAUGAAUAGGAUACCUAAUAAUAUGAACCACACUUUGCCUUGCUUGUCAUAAAUUUAGUGUGUACUGUGAAGCAACAAAAUGUUUUUUUUCUUCACAUUAACAGAAAGGACCAUUUUUAAGCUCAUUUGGCUUUAUUUGUAAGUGCCAUUUUCUUUGCCUUGCAGCUGCAUCAAGGUCCUUUAACAUAAUGUUUAUAACACAGCCCAGACUUUAAUUUCAUUUUAUUAUGUACAGUUUUCGGGUCUUUUUGACAUAUGCAAUGACCAUAAACCAAGUUAGCUUGAGGGGUGUUUUUGUAAAAAUUAAAAAAAAAGAUGGUUGUUUAAUAGACUUUAUGUAAUUAUGCAAUUUCACCAACUAAUAUAUUAUUAUGAAGAUGGCCCAGUUUCUAAAUCUUUGAAAGGCUUUCUUCUUAUUGCAUGCAUAAAACUAUUGAAAUGAAUGGAGAUGUUUGUCAUGAUCCACUCAUUGCUUCUGUUACGACAUGUUUGAAAUAGCAGGUUUACCUACUAGUGAUGUGUAUCUAGACUUCUUCACUUUGUUGUGUGCACAUGUAUUAACAUUUGUUUUUUAAAUGUUAAAUGUGGAUUUUUACACUCAAACCCAGUAAAAGAAACAGAAUUCACUAGACACUGUUACACCUUUGAAGUCACAAUGUGAAAGAGAAGAUAUUUUUGGUAUGUUUUGUAUGCAAUGUCUAAAUCAAUUUUAUAGUAAAAAAAAAAAGGGACAAUGUAAAAAUAGAUUAUAAUAGAUUUAAAA